rnacentral:rRNA from 1 species
GGACUACCGGGGUAUCUAAUCCUGUUCGCUCCCCUAGCUUUCGCGCCUCAGCGUCAGUUACUAGCCAGGACACUGCCUUCGCCUUUGGUAUUCCUCCGGAUAUCUACGCAUUUCACCACUCCACCCGGAAUUCUAUGUCCCUCUCUAGUCCUCAAGGGUUGCAGUUUUCAGAGGCCUUGCUCAGUUGAGCCGAGCACUGUCACUCUAAACUUACAACUCCGCCUGCGCGCGCUUUACGCCCAAUAAAUCCGGACAACGCUCGCCCCCUACGUAUUACCGCGGCUGCUGGCAC